UUCCAUCAACAUCUUGACCUCUUGAAUUGAUUUUAUGCCACCAUAUUCACCAUUGGUAUUGUAUCUGUACUUCCAUCACUACCCCUCUAAACCUUGGAUCUAUCUCUUUCCAUCAUUUGUUUGCCACAAACAAAGUGAUAACAAAUUUUCCUUUUAAUGCAUAUCACUCUCACUCUCCAUUUCUAUCUCUAUGUCUCAACCUCCAUCAACAUUACCUCCUCAACAUCAUGCACAUGGAUGAUGUGCAUCUCUCUCUCAUUGUUCAUUUUUGUUUGGCAAGAAUGGAGCCGGCCAAUUUGUGUUUGCAUUCAAAAUUCGGCCAGCACUAUCUCCCCUUUUCCUUCUUAUACAAGCCAUGCCUCCCACCUACCCCAAUCCAUAAAUGGGCAGCCUCCCAACCAACUCAAUCAAUGAGGAGGCUACCUCCCAACCAACUCAAUCAAUGAGGAGGCAGCCAACCCACCCCCUCUCCCUCUAUAUAAAGGGGCUUGGCAGCCCACUCCCUCCUCACUUGCUCUCAUUUCCCACUCUCCACUCCUCUCCACUCCUCUCCUUUGCCUCAUUUCUUUUCACUCCCUACUAUUUCCUCCACUCCCUCACACUCUCCUCCUCCACUUCCCCACGAAAAUGGUGCUCCCCUUGCUCCCAUGUCCGGCCAUAGCCAUGGCAAGCCACCAAGAUGAAGCUCUCCCCCUCCCUCAAGCUCAUCCUCACCAUGAGAGCCUCCCCCUCCAUCUUCUCCCCAACCUUAGAUGGUUUAAUCUCCUCUUCUUCUCCCUCCAUUGCUAAGAUUGGAUCUUGAUGCAGGUGCAUGUUGGUCCAAGCAUGGAGAAGGUUGAGCUAUCCUCAGAUCUGAAGUUCUUGAGCAAAGUUCGUCCAAAACCUUGCAGUAAUUUCUGUUUCUUGCUGUUUCAGAUUCUGGUACGAUCUUGUAAAAUCCGCCAAAUCUCGUGUGCAGAUCCAAAUCGAGUGGUUCAAAGUUCUGCCGAUAGAUCAAGAUCUGGUCAGAUCUGACUUUGUCGAAUUAAAUCAGGAGCUUGGAAACGAAUUUUUGAAUGAAACCAGUUGGGGGAUAUUUGGUUUAUACCAUGGUGAUAACCGAGAGAGGCAAUUGCUAAGUUGUGACGCACUCAUACCUCUACUAGAUGCGAACAAUUCCGGAGAAGAAGAAGAAGUGGUUCGGACAAGGAUUUUAUUUAUAUUGACGGGAUUCUUAUAUUGAUGGAGUUGAAGAAGUACAGGGACAAAUAAGCCAAG